UGGGGGGGGUGCUUGCUACCUGCCGGCGAGUGGCGAACGGGUGAGUAAUACAUCGGAACGUGCCCUGUAGUGGGGGAUAACUAGUCGAAAGACUAGCUAAUACCGCAUACGACCUGAGGGUGAAAGUGGGGGACCGCAAGGCCUCAUGCUAUAGGAGCGGCCGAUGUCUGAUUAGCUAGUUGGUGGGGUAAGGGCCCACCAAGGCGACGAUCAGUAGCUGGUCUGAGAGGACGAUCAGCCACACUGGGACUGAGACACGGCCCAGACUCCUACGGGAGGCAGCAGUGGGGAAUUUUGGACAAUGGGGGCAACCCUGAUCCAGCAAUGCCGCGUGUGUGAAGAAGGCCUUCGGGUUGUAAAGCACUUUUGUCCGGAAAGAAAUCGCACUGGUUAAUACCUGGUGUGGAUGACGGUACCGGAAGAAUAAGGACCGGCUAACUACGUGCCAGCAGCCGCGGUAAUACGUAGGGUCCAAGCGUUAAUCGGAAUUACUGGGCGUAAAGCGUGCGCAGGCGGUUGUGCAAGACCGAUGUGAAAUCCCCGGGCUUAACCUGGGAAUUGCAUUGGUGACUGCACGGCUAGAGUGUGUCAGAGGGAGGUAGAAUUCCACGUGUAGCAGUGAAAUGCGUAGAGAUGUGGAGGAAUACCGAUGGCGAAGGCAGCCUCCUGGGAUAACACUGACGCUCAUGCACGAAAGCGUGGGGAGCAAACAGGAUUAGAUACCCUGGUAGUCCACGCCCUAAACGAUGUCAACUAGUUGUUGGGGAUUCAUUUCCUUAGUAACGUAGCUAACGCGUGAAGUUGACCGCCUGGGGAGUACGGUCGCAAGAUUAAAACUCAAAGGAAUUGACGGGGACCCGCACAAGCGGUGGAUGAUGUGGAUUAAUUCGAUGCAACGCGAAAAACCUUACCUACCCUUGACAUGCCACUAACGAAGCAGAGAUGCAUUAGGUGCUCGAAAGAGAAAGUGGACACAGGUGCUGCAUGGCUGUCGUCAGCUCGUGUCGUGAGAUGUUGGGUUAAGUCCCGCAACGAGCGCAACCCUUGUCUCUAGUUGCUACGAAAGGGCACUCUAGAGAGACUGCCGGUGACAAACCGGAGGAAGGUGGGGAUGACGUCAAGUCCUCAUGGCCCUUAUGGGUAGGGCUUCACACGUCAUACAAUGGUGCAUACAGAGGGUUGCCAAGCCGCGAGGUGGAGCUAAUCCCAGAAAAUGCAUCGUAGUCCGGAUCGUAGUCUGCAACUCGACUACGUGAAGCUGGAAUCGCUAGUAAUCGCGGAUCAGCAUGCCGCGGAUGCCG
rnacentral:rRNA from 1 species